UAGGGAAUCUUCGGCAAUGGACGAAAGUCUGACCGAGCAACGCCGCGUGAGUGAAGAAGGUUUUCGGAUCGUAAAACUCUGUUGUUAGAGAAGAACAAGGACGUUAGUAACUGAACGUCCCCUGACGGUAUCUAACCAGAAAGCUACGGCUAACUACGUGCCAGCAGCCGCGGUAAUACGUAGGUGGCAAGCGUUGUCCGGAUUUAUUGGGCGUAAAGCGAGCGCAGGCGGUUUCUUAAGUUUGAUGUGAAAGCCCCCGGCUCAACCGGGGAGGGUCAUUGGAAACUGGGAGGCUUGAGUGGAGGAGAGGGGAGUGGAAUUCCAUGUGUAGCGGUGAAAUGCGUAGAUAUGUGGAGGAACACCAGUGGCGAAGGCGGCUCUCUGGUCUGUAACUGACGCUGAGGCUCGAAAGCGUGGGGAGCAAACAGG
rnacentral:rRNA from 1 species